GAUGAACGCUGGCGGCGUGCCUAAUACAUGCAAGUCGAGCGAACAGACGAGGAGCUUUCUCCUCUGACGUUAGCGGCGGACGGGUGAGUAACACGUGGAUAACCUACCUAUAAGACUGGGAUAACUUCGGGAAACCGGAGCUAAUACCGGAUAAUAUAUUGAACCGCAUGGUUCAAUAGUGAAAGACGGUUUUGCUGUUACUUAUAGAUGGAUCCGCGCCGCAUUAGCUAGUUGGUAAGGUAACGGCUUACCAAGGCAACGAUGCGUAGCCGACCUGAGAGGGUGAUCGGCCACACUGGAACUGAGACACGGUCCAGACUCCUACGGGAGGCAGCAGUAGGGAAUCUUCCGCAAUGGGCGAAAGCCUGACGGAGCAACGCCGCGUGAGUGAUGAAGGUCUUCGGAUCGUAAAACUCUGUUAUUAGGGAAGAACAAAUGUGUAAGUAACUAUGCACGUCUUGACGGUACCUAAUCAGAAAGCCACGGCUAACUACGUG
rnacentral:rRNA from 1 species